rnacentral:snoRNA from 1 species
AGCAAAAAUGAUGAAAUUUGAUAUAUGUUACUGAAAAUUGAAAUGUUGAAUUCAAUGUCAUUUAGGUCUUCAAAGUUCUCUGAUUGCU